UACACGUGGGGCAAGCGUUGUUCGGAAUUACUGGGCAUAAAGGGUGCGUAGGCGGCUUGAUAAGUCAGUGGUGAAAUCGUCCGGCCCAACCGGACACGUGCCAAUGAUACUGUCGAGCUAGAGUGCGUGAGGGGUGGGGGGAACGAGCAGUGUAGCGGUGAAAUGCGUAGAUAUUGCUCGGAAGGCCAAAGCCGAAGGGACCCCACUGGUACGCAACUGACGCUGAGGCACGAAAGCGUGGGGAGCAAACAGG
rnacentral:rRNA from 1 species